rnacentral:lncRNA from 1 species
UUAGUAUUUGCCGUAGGCCUUGCUAUGCUUGUUUGAGACCCUUGUGUUCCCGGUAGAGCAAAAUCUCGUAGAGCUCGCCUAUUUGCUUCAUUUUCGGUCAUCUCUUCUUCAAAUGGUAGCUCUAUUAAGAUUUCCUCUAUCGGUUGCCAAACCUCUUGUUCGUCUUGCUGUGGUGUAUGCCUCCUUUGUCUACGUAAUGUCCUCUCAAUUUCUGAAUCGAAAAGUGCUACUUCUCGAGAUGUCCGGUGCAUACACUACAAACAGAAAUAAGAGAGAUUAUGCAACUUUUAUUUAUCAAAAACUGAUUAAAAUGUAAAAUUAGCUAUAGAAAGCUUAACUAAAAAAUAAAGAUGUCUAAAUUAAUAGAGAUGAUUAGACCCUAAUAUUGCCGCUUCCCGGCAAUGGCGCCAAAAACUUGAUGAAUUUUUUUACUACAAGUGUAAGUUAAAUCCGAAUUUAUACCUAUUUGACUGCAAGUAUACAAGCCAAAAUCGUAAUGUAGAGUAUGUAUCGGGUCGAUCUCAUGAGAAUCAACUUAAACAAUUACUAGAUCCUAAUUUACUCUAUUAUUUAGACUCACAAUAUAUUUGAACAGAAAAUUCAGAAUUAAAUCUGACUACAAUCUUUUUACUAUCUAAAAUCCUUAACUAGAUAAUUGCAAUAUCACAAAUGAAGAAAAAUUCACCAAAUACUUGAAUCUAAGGAUGUAGAUUCCACUUAUAACACAAAUGAUCCAAAUGAAUGAAUUUAAUACUUGUUACUACUCUUGUUUAACCAGGGAUUCAUUUUCAAAAUUGCCAAAACUUCAUUCUCAAGAUAAAAUUGGUCUAAAAAGCUUAGUUUUUGUGACGGCCCCACCUCCCCCUAGGGCGAACCAAAGGGUUUGGCGGACCGCCUGCCCAACUUUCGCCAGAAUUCACUUACUCACAUCAAAUAAAAUAAGGUGCAACCUCAAUAAUAAACGAAAUAAUAGUUCCCAAACUUGGGACAUACAAAUACAUCAAAAGAUUGGAAUUCUGAAUAAACUCAACCCUAAUCGAGCAACUCGUGUGAGUACAUUUACAAAAGUCAAAAACUAGACUACGCUAGUCUGUACUGGUCCCACGCCUCGCUCGUACCCCCUGUAAGGAAGACAAAUGGCGUGGAAUGAGCUAAAAGCCCAGUGAGGUUCCAAAUAGCAAAUCGACCAUUGUUUAUCAGUACAAGAUUCAAUGUAGUAACGAAUGAGUAUGAAAAGUUCAUAAAAUUGAGCAAUAACACUUCAAGUAGCAAAUCUUAAAAUGAGCGAGUGUAAAGUUUAAAAACGAAACAAUAAUACGAUAACUACUAAUCAUUCCAAGUAUAAGGAUACGGAUGGCUCUCAGGAGCCAAAUUCCCAUUGCAUCACCAGAGCUUGAUCAAGUAAUAGUUGAUACUCCGUCAACUUUCAAGUAACCAAUCCCAUAGAGCAUCACUUAAACUACUCUCCGUCCACCAUCCAAACCCCCUACUGGGCCCAAAAUCCUCAAUAAACACGGGUGGUAAUAUUCGAGUAUACCGAUUAGUCGAGAAAAUAUCACUCCACACGACAAAACAAAAGACCCAGGAUUCGUUACCCAAUCGACCAAACCUUUGCCGGCUCGACUCGAGUAACUCGCCAUAGGGUUUCUGGAAUUCCAGGAAGUGCGCACCAUAUACACAAAUAUAUCAGAUCCAUUGCAACCAUAAACAAUUAUAUCUCAUAUUAGGGCAAGUGCGAUAAGGUACACUCUUGCCCGACCAAAGAAAUGAUAUAUCAUUAAAUCACAUUGGUCAAGUAUUGAAAACAAGUUUCCAAUUCAAUCAGGUAUUUAGAAGCACUCAACAAAAUGUAGUGCUUUUCAAAAAUCACGUUCAGGUCCAACUCCUUAGUUGGAGUCCAAAUUUGCGAUAAAAUAUCAUUGACAAAUGUAAAACUCUCUAGAGUUCGAAAUAUAGGAGUUUCGCUUCAAGAAAAUCAAGUAAAUGCAACUCGUUCAAAUAGUAUUCAAGAUACUUAUCAAAUCCCGAAAAUUUAUACUCGCUCAUCUAGUUUCGGUAAAAAAGCGGUUAAAACUUUAGAACUCCCAUUGGAGUCAAAAGAACGAGUAAAACGUAUUUCUAUUGAUUAUUACUUUCAUUUUCCAAGGGUACAAGGUCGGCCAAAUUCUAACUUAUAUACCUCGAUAAAAGAAGACGCAAAUAUCCUAGAUAGCUCAAGAGGUACUCGCUCUCAAGCCUUACUUAAGUCGCAAGUAUAUCUACCUAACCCUCGAGCGUAAAUUUGGGUAGCACGCCCUUUGUAUUUAUCUAUUUUCUAGCCAUUCAUGGCUUUAUUCUUUUCCUCAAUCAGUCCCAAAGUCACACACAAAAUAAUCUCAUUUCAAUAACCGUUUAAUAGGCUCAAAGUCAUACAAGUACCAAACCAAGCUAGGAACAUGUGCGGAAAUGAAGUUUGAGUCAAGAAACAAAAGACAGAUUUGACGUUGUUUUGCAUAACGCACACAACUGAGGCUAUGCUUAUCAUAUUGGGAUGUAAUCUAUACCGUUUCGAAGCUAAGACCAAGAUCUACAACUUUGAUGAAGACCACUCAGUCCAGUUAGUGGUGUAGCUAGGUCAAAAUUUCAAUGUACCAGACUAGAAUCUCACAAACAAGUUAGCUGACCGCACUAUGGUUACACGACAAUAACUCAGGCUACCAAAGUCCGAUUGAGGCGUUUUCAGGGGCGUUGGAAAGAUAAGACAUAGGGGUAAAAGUUUCAUGUUUUGGCCAAAGAUUGGUUUGAUGCGAAUCGAGGUGAAAAAAUGCAACCAACGUGAGGCAAUGUCAAAACUGUCUGCUGGACUCCACCUAGGGCAGUUUCAGGGGUAUUUUUGUCUUUUCAUGAGAUACAAUGCUCGGAUUGGGGUGCAAUUUUGUAGAAAACUAUAAAACAUUACUCUCUACAACUUUCAUGUUUUGUGCUAAGCCUAAUUAGACCUCUAUCAAGGUGAACUAAAACUAGGCAGAACAGGGCACUAAGGAUUUUCACUUCUGGAAUUUUGCUACAUUCAAGGUAUAAUUCACAUUUCUAGCUUAAAACCAUCACUACCACCUCAUAUACAAGCUUAUGUACAUCAUAUACCAUCCACACAAUAAGAAGUAGGGCUGAACAUUAUAAAAACCUACCUUACUAAUGCACCCAAAAUCAUCACAACUACUUGUAUAGCUACCAAUUUAAUCAAAACAUGAGUUGUAUAGCAACUUAAGCCCAAAAACAAAGAACCAAAGAUAAGGGACAGCCAAUAUACCUCAAUAACAAGCUUACAAAGGAUACCCUUGCAAAGUUUAGCUUCCAAGCUUCCUAAGCUCCCAAACUUGUGAUUAAUCGGUUUAGUUUUUCUUGUUUUCACUCAAAAUGUUGGAUUCAAGGUUGGAAAUUGGAAAGCUCUCUUCACUCUUCUCCCUCUCUUGCUCUCGGCUGGUAUUCUGAAAUUAUGGAGGAAAUUGGUUGGUUUUUGGUGAUAAAUAUGGUGUAAAUUAGUUAGUCAACAAUCCAAUGGAAGACCGCCACUUGUUGCUUCAAGAUUCAUUCUUAAAUUUUUUUCCUUUUUCCUUGUUUUUUUGGUCAAAUAAUUCAGCCACUCCAUGCUGAGAUUGAAGGAGAUAUUUUGUAAUAAUAUCAAGGAUAUUUUAGGGUAGGAAAGUGUUGGUCAAGUGGUGUGUCCAAUCGGUAGUGAACGAUACCCGUCGAUUCGAGCCGAUUUUCCUUAAAUCGCGUAUACUAGGGUUUUAACUUAUAAUUUACUUACUUAUUAUUAUCACUUCUACUCACACACUUAACAACACCUAAAACUCACUCUUAAUCACCAGAUUUGAUCCACACUCCGCACCGGAUAGUCACCCUACGGAUAGACGUAAAAACCCUAGUUCGCGCUUAUAACUUGAAAUUGAAAAGAGAAAACCCUUACUUCUAUAUUCAUUUGCACUUAUUGUGGGGUGAUUGGGUAGUAGGGCUAUUAUAAAGUAAUAAUUUCCAAAUAAAAGGGAAUUUUUUUAAAAAAAAUAUAUAAGGAAUUUGCAAGUCCUCACAGUUUUUCCUAAUCUCUUGGUGAAAACUGAAACUACUCUUGUUCAUGCAUGAAAUGCAGAUUUAAUCCACUUGAAUGUAUUUCUAUUCUCAUGAAUAUACAACUCAAACUCUACUCAUGUUAUUCCAUUGUUUUUACCAUUUCUCAAUGAGUAAUAACAACUAUAAACCUACUAUUGGUGAUCAAACAACAACAAGGUGUCAAGCAUACAUAAGUAAACAAGUUAAUACAAGAUACAACAAGUAUAAAUCACAUUCAAUUUAUAUCACUUGGCCAUAAGUUUCAUCUACUCCCUAGAUAUAGAACUCAGUGAUAAUGUAAUAAUCAAACUCAUAACUUCAUUAAUGGAAAACAUCUCAGUUUACAAGUACAAGAAAGAUAAAGAAAAGCUUAGCCAAGUAAUGGUGAAGCCCUCUAAAAAUCUGCUAUGUCUUAUACUAGAUUAUUACAAGAUGAAGCCUCCAAGUGUUCCUGCAAAAUUUACUAGCUAGAGAGAGUUUGCUAUCAGAAAAUCAUCUACAUAUAUCCUCCUCUGACCUCCCCAAUGUCUCUGUAUAAAAGCUGGUCCAAAAACUCCUUUUUCCUGGUCAAAUAUUCCCCCCUUUGAUUCCCAAAUUUGAAGCUUGUUUAGAUAGUCAAUAACCAAUGUUUUUGACUUGAAAAUAAGCCACCUUUCUUGCCCUUUUUGUCUUCUGAAGCAUGUGCACCGACUUCCUUUGCAACUUAUAGCUGGAAAUUAGUAUGAGCACAAGAGAAAUGGCUGAGCAAAUUGCAGAUUUUCAGCUACAAAAUGCGACUACACAAAACGCGGCAUCAACCCACGUUUUGUCAACUCGUGUUUUCAACUAUGUGAAAUUGGCCUCGCUUCAACUGUGAUUUUCUCUAUGAUAGAGGCCGAGCUAGCUUUUGUACAAAACACAAAAUUGUAGGCCUUUGAGUUAGCUUCACAAUGCUUCAGGAAUCAUCCAAAUCAGAGUGUUGUAGACUGAGAUAUGAUCAAAAUACGGUCACCUAGUCAAACCCCUGUUUCAAUUUUCGUCCAUAGAGUGCAGCUUCUGUAUUUCGACUUUUUGUUCAUGAAAACAACCGAAUUGGAUUCCUAUGUCUUCAUACGAAAUCUAGAUCUCUUUCUUAGCUUUAAAAUGGUAUAAAUAUCACCUCAAUCCAAUAUGUGUAGCUCCAGAUAUAGCCAAAAUACGAAAAUGUGUCAGAGUUGUUUUCAUUUGCAUUUCUUCAAUUUACUUCAUUUCUUCUUUACCAGUUAAAUUCAUCACCAAUUAUCCACUUUUCACCUCAGUUGACAUCCUUUGGUGAUUGAAUCAUUAAUCCUGCAUGAAAAUGAAUUUUUUACCAUUAAGAUUAAUAGAAAUGCAAUGUUGGCCACUUUAACUUUAAAAUGUAUAUUUUUACCAAAACCCUAACUAUUUUAGUUAUAAACUUGAUUAAAUUACUGAAAUUUUACUAAUAAAUACACUUAAAAACAUGUAAAAUAUACUCUCAUCAAUGUUGCUCGCAUUAGAGCCACUUCAAUGUCAUUGAGCAUUCAUUUCAGUAUCAAGAGACACUCAUUUCACUGUCAUUGUACAUUCAUUUCAAUAUCAUUGUACAUUCUGCCAAUUCACCUCCUUAUGUCUUUCAAAACAGUAAACAAUUCCCUACAUUCAAUAAUCAGUUCAAUAAUCUCCCAACCUCAUGGUAAUACUCGAGUAUACUGAAAAAGUUACCCAAAUCUUUUGUCUUAUCUGACCAAGCUCUUUGCUAGCUCGAAUAGUCCGUUGAACAAAGGAUUUUGGGAUCCAGUUCAGCCGAUGUAGUAAAGUACACAUACAGCUUAUAUUCAUGCACAUUUACAGUAAUAUUUAGUCAAUUAUCAACCUUAAUGCUUAACUAAGCUGAGUGCGAUAAAAUACACUUUCGACUUAGAAGGCGAGGGACAAUUAAGAUACACUUUAUAAUGAAUCAUUUAGUAAUAAUUCAUGAUAAGUACAUUUGUCACAUAAUUUCACUUAGAUACACAUAAACAGUUAAACACAUAAAUUCGAAAAACACUCACCAAUUAUUCAAAUAAUUUACUCUUGAGCCUCGGAUUUGUUUCCUGGCUCGCGGCUAUUUCCUGAGAUAAAUAUAUAAUUCCAUGGUAAAUUUACAAUUUGUAGAUGUUCACCUAUUAUUUAAAUUAUUCGAAUUAGGUUUGACUUUAAAAUAUAAAAUAUAACAUAUUCAAUAUUUAUUCUACCUUAUUGUUUAAACUAUUAAAAUCAAGUUUGAUCUUAAAAUACAAAAUAUACGCAAUAUUUAUUCCCCAAUUUAUUUCAAGACUUAUUGACUUUAUUAUCUUAAAUCAAGAAAUAUACAUACUCUCCAAAUUAAUAAUUUAAAAAAUGUUUACAUUAGGAUUAAAUUAUUUUCUACUCAAGAUUCUAAGUUUAAAGCUUAGGAAUAUUCCAUUGGUUCCCUUUUUUAAAUUAGUUAAACUCUAAGUUAUUUGUAAAUUAAAUUUUAUUCCACUACACUCGUCCCUCAAAUUUAUAGAUUUUAACAUAUGUGUAAAGACAAUAUUAAGUGAUUAGAAGCCAAUUUAGGUAUAUAACUAUCAUGAGUUUUCCUCUCAUUUGCUUUAAUUUAACUCUACUCGUGGAACUAGAUAUAGUCGUUAAAUCUCAGACCAACCGUAGCUACCAUUUAUGAAAGCUUACAAGGUUGGAAAUUAGAAGAAAUGCUGGUUAAAAGUUGGUUUCUCACGGCCAGCAUCUUAGCAAAGUACAUUCGGGAACAAAAGGAAAGGCAACGAGAAAGGCAGCUUUGCCAUCUUCUGGUAUUCUGAUCAUAACUGGAGCUAUGGUUAUCGGAUUGAGGUGAAUUUUAUAGCGUUUCGAAGCUAAGACAUAGAACUACAUUUCUUAUGGAGACAUCGACACUCAGUUCUCAGUUCUCGCAUUUUCAAGGUAAAAACUGUACGGUCAGAAGCACCUUCUGUUUCACUCUCUCGGCUGAAGCUAAAAGAAUUUCAGCAUGGCUUAGCAGCUGCAUUUUUCCCUUUUCAUUCCUCCUCAGUUUUCUGUUCUAGAUUAUGUAAAAAGCAUAUUGAUUCAUCUUCAAGUUAACUUAAGCAAAACGGGGAAGUUUAUGCUCAAAACUCAAAAGGAUAGCUGACUAAAAUUCAGCUCUGCGCAAGGCUGCAAAACUGAUGUACCGCAGCUUGCCUCAGAGUUCUUUCACGUAUGGUUCUCUCCAUUUCACACUCAUUAACCUACGACUGACCCCUUAAACUGAAGAAGGAAACAAAUAAUCUGUUGCAUGCAUCCCAUAACGUUAUUAACCCAAGAAAUUUUGACAUCAGUUGCAAGUUCCAGCUCAACACUCAGUUUCUGCAAUUUUUCUGAGAUUUCACAGUUAUUGCCCGGCAUUUACUUCAGCUACAAGCUCUUCUCACUCUAGUUAUCAACCCUGCUCUAAGUUCUCAGGUAAGACAAGAAAAGAGCAUAUAGUUUGAGGUUCUAGCGGAAUAUUUCUCCCUACUUUCGGUUAACAAGCUGCAUGAUCAGUUUUUUUUUCCUCGGAUGGAGCUGAAAGGUAACCACUCCCUAAACAAGUUUUCCCUUCAAUCAAACUGAAUUUUUCUUAGCUACAUUCCAGCAUUCCACAGUAAUAUCCAAGUGUACUAGUUGUUUAGAAGGUUAUUGCUGUCACGUACCUCGUUCCUUCCUCCUAACGUUUGAAAAAAAAUGCAGAUCGCACGUUUGGUUUCCUGCUCCUAGCUUCGUCCCUCUAACUAUUGCACCAGCUCUCCCUUUUUUUCUCACGUUUGGCUCGCGGUGUUGAGGCUACCAGCUGAAGAAAUGAAGCGAGCCAGUGCCUCUCUCUCACUCUCACUGUCUCGGUUGCAGACUGGAGGCAAAGAGAAACCAGAAAUGUUUUCUUUUCCUCUCACUCGAUUAUGUAUGAGCUGAAUGGGUGUCCAAAUCACUCUCUCAGCUUUGCUCCUAGUGCGUGGUUGGUAAGAAAAGAAAAGAAAUGUUUUUUCU